UACGUAGGGUGCGAGCGUUAAUCGGAAUUACUGGGCGUAAAGCGUGCGCAGGCGGUGGCUCAAGUCAGAUGUGAAAGCCCCGGGCUUAACCUGGGAAUUGCGUUUGAAACUGAGUAGCUAGAGUUUAGCAGAGGGGGGUAGAAUUCCACGUGUAGCAGUGAAAUGCGUAGAGAUGUGGAGGAACACCGAUGGCGAAGGCAGCCCCCUGGGCUAGAACUGACGCUCAGGCACGAAAGCGUGGGGAGCAAACAGG
rnacentral:rRNA from 1 species